rnacentral:rRNA from 1 species
UACGUAGGGGGCAAGCGUUGUCCGGAUUUAUUGGGCGUAAAGAGCGUGUAGGCGGCCAGACAGGUCCGUUGUGAAAACUCGAGGCUCAACCUCGAGAUGUCGAUGGAAACCGUCUGGCUAGAGUCCGGAAGAGGAGUGUGGAAUUCCUGGUGUAGCGGUGAAAUGCGUAGAUAUCGAGAGGAACACCAGUGGCGAAGGCGAGUCCCUGGACAUCUCCUGACACUGAGGCACGAAAGCUAGGGGAGCAAACAGG